rnacentral:rRNA from 1 species
GACGAACGCUGGCGGCGUGCUUAACACAUGCAAGUCGAACGAUGAAGUUCCUUCGGGAAUGGAGUAGUGGCGAACGGGGGAGGAACACGUGAGAAACCUGCCUUUCAUUUUGGGAUAACUCCGGGAAGCCGGGGCUAACACCGAAUACUCCGUCUCGGCGGCAUCGCUCGGCCGGGAAAAACUUGUGAUGAAAGAUGGUCUCGCGGCCUAUCAGUUAGUUGGGGAGGUAAUGGCUCACCAAGGCAACGACGGGUAGCCGGGCUGAGAGGGCGAACGGCCACACUGGGACUGAGACACGGCCCAGACUCCUACGGGAGGAAGCAGUGGGGAAUAUUGGGGAAUGGGCGCAAGCCUGACCCAGCGACGCCGCGUGAGGGAUGAAGGCCUUCGGGUUGUAAACCUCUUUCAGUAGGGAAGAAGCGAACGUGACGGUACCUAAAGAAAAAGCACCGGCUAACUAUGUGCCAGCAGCCGCCGUAA